rnacentral:rRNA from 1 species
GACGAACCGAGCGAACGUUGUUCGGAAUUACUGGGCGUAGAGAGCUCGUAGGUGGUUUGUCGCGUUGUUCGUGAAAACUCACAGCUUAACUGUGGGCGUGCGGGCGAUACGGGCAGACUGGAGUACUGCAGGGGAGACUGGAAUUCCUGGUGUAGCGGUGGAAUGCGCAGAUAUCAGGAGGAACACCGGUGGCGAAGGCGGGUCUCUGGGCAGUAACUGACGCUGAGGAGCGAAAGCGUGGGGAGCGAACAGG